GACGGAGGAUGCAAGUGUUAUCCGGAAUCACUGGGCGUAAAGCGUCUGUAGGUGGUCAAAUAAGUCAACUGUUAAAUCUUGAGGCUCAACCUCAAAAUCGCAGUCGAAACUAUUCGACUAGAGUAUAGUAGGGGUAAAGGGAAUUUCCAGUGGAGCGGUGAAAUGCGUAGAGAUUGGAAAGAACACCGAUGGCGAAGGCACUUUACUGGGCUAUUACUAACACUGAGAGACGAAAGCUAGGGUAGCAAAUGGGG
rnacentral:rRNA from 1 species